AGGAUUAUGGCGCGAUCCUAUGGUGCGGAAUAUGCGCAAUGCGGAAUUGGCGGCACGUUCGUGAUUGGUUCGAUUCUUUUUACGUUCGUUCGGCCAAUUUCUAUUCCACAACUUAUUAUUUUAUCUGCGAAAUUAUGUUUCUUUUCGCUUUUCGCGCGAUACAAAAUGGCGUCGAGGGAAGGAAUUAACAUGGAAUUGAAAUUCAUUCGAGGGAACGGUGUAAGUCAAAAGGAAAAGGUGAAGGCGUUUUGGAAGUUUUUGGAUGCUCAGAAUAAUUUACAGCCACAUAAAGGUAUCUUGGAACAUGAAUCGCCGCCGGAAACGGAAUCGUUGAUCUCAAGUGUGGAAGAAAUGAUGAAGGAGAGAGACAUUUGGUGCAAAGGGUUAAAGAUCUUUCGACAACUUGGCCUGGAUAAAACCGCUCUCGCAGCCGAUAACAGAUGCAAACUCUGUCUGGUGCAGAAAACGAUCCAGUACGUUUACGAAAAGUGAUUCGUACCGGUGGAACCGCACCUGGAACAUAAUGGACGCGCCGAUGGAAAAAGGACGGGCAGGACACGAGAGGGUGAACGCAUGCAGAGACAAAAGCACGGGAGGAUAAGAGAGCGAUUGAGAGGUAGCACAAAAGAAGCAUGAGGAACCGGAACGGGUAGAGGGGAGGGAACGGCGACGAGCAGGAGGAGGAGAACGAGGAGUCCCGUUGACGGAGAUUCGACGAAGCAGCGAUGUUUAAUCGGUGUUGGCCCGCAUCAGGUUGAUCGAAGACCCCCCAACCGGGUGUUGGAGAACGACGUGGGCCCCUGACGACGACGUAGGGAGGUCCAGGGCGAGCGCGAGCGGAACCGGGGAGAGGCUGUGCCGUGCCGAUCAAGCGAACAAUGGAGGCGGGAUGCUCAUUUGUCUGCGGGCAUUGUUGUUCACCCGGCCGGAAACACGAGCCUCGUACUCUCCUUUUCCCCUCUCUAUCUCAUUCUCUGUCUCUCUCUUUCGCUCCUGUUCUGUCUCUCUUCCCUUUUCUGUCCCUCUCCCGCUUUCGCCAUCUGUGCAUCCUCCUCGUCAAUGUCUCCCCUCCCGCCGUAGCUUUUUCCAGUACGAAAGUACCGCGAUGAUUCCGCCAAUCGUGUCGCUCGGCGUUCGCAGGUCGAUGGUGCAAAAAUUCGGAAUAACCGUUUCCACCAUGUUCAACCGCGAGUCGACGCACGAUGUUGAAUGUGUCGGACUCGGCUGCCGACUUAUCGAUCGCUCGAUGGAAGCUCGCAUCGAGUCCCGAUACAUGAUUCAGGAGAGAUUCUUAAGGUACAGAGAUCUUCUGCAGUGUUGGAAACAGAGGGAAGGACCGACAUUGUAAAAGGCUCGUUGUUUGUCGAACAUCUAAUUUGUGCUAUACCAUCUAAUUUUUCCCUCAGUUCAGAUAGGUAGAUUAUGCUUGAGUUAUCUUUUCGCCAAGGAUCGCUGGGAAUCGUUUAUUAAUGACUGCUACUACGUUGCUUGAUAACAUACACACCGUAUUACGAGUUAAUCUAAUUACAGACAGUAAUAUGAGAGGUACUUCUUGUUAUUGCACAGAUCAUUAAAAAGUUUAUAACUUUAGAAAAAUCAAAUUGACUCGAAGAAAAUUUCCAUAUUGAAGCUAUUUUAUUUAUUGAAGCUUUAACGAUAUUUAUGCUUAUAAUAGAUGUACAAUAAACGUCAAUUCGGUGAUCACGUUUACUACUUACUAAUCGAUAGUCGAAGAAUCGUAGUUCGUAGGAAGGAAAAAAGAAGGGGGUCAGUCGGCGAAAUAUACGGGAGUAAAAAGGCAAACGGGAGCAUGUGCGGGAGGAUACAAAAAUAGAGGGGCAAUUUCGCGGACGAGCACAUUCACCAGCGGUCAUCGAAAGAGCCCUCGUUUUACGAUCGUUUCGGAUCCCUUCAACCGGCAGGAGCCGGCACGAAGAAGAGCAGCCGAAGGAUCGCCGGUGAAAAAAGAAAAAAAGAAGAAAGAAGGAGAGAGAGAGAGAGAGGAGGCUCGGCAGUAUGGCGAUUGAAUGGCUCUGCCAAAUUAACAAUGAUUUAUGGGGUCGGUGUACCCCAUACACCAUUCUAUUAACAUCGCAUUAUUCGACCGACAAAUUACACACCGACGAUCGCGCUUUCGGGCCGGAUUCGACACUUUUUAUUUACGGUAACAAAUGACCCCCGCGCAAUCACUCGGGCGCCUGACAAGCGCAGGGAUCUGCUCUUGCCCUCUUAGUAAGUAAAUUUGUUUUGUUACAUUAAAAUUGAAACGUCUAAUAGAUAAAGUUUAUUUAAGCACAAAUGCUCAAAUAUUUAUUACGUUGUAAAAAGCUCAAUAAUGAAGGAAACGGUAAUAAAUAAAAUUGGUUUGCUUAAAACAUGAUAUUUCAAUGUUGUAUAUAUUUUGGUGCAUGCUACUUCUCACUCUCUUAAUUGGCUGCAUCCGCAGUGUUUUCACAUUGUGUGCAAAAAUUAAUGCAACGCGCAUUUUGUUAAUGCUUUCUUUGUCG
rnacentral:misc_RNA from 1 species